GGGCCUGUAGCUCAGCCGUGGUUAGAGCGCACGCCUGAUAAGCGUGAGGUCAGAGGUUCGACUCCUCUCAGGCCCACCA
rnacentral:tRNA from 4 species